UAGGGAAUCUUCCACAAUGGACGCAGCNGAUGGAGCAACGCCGCGUGAGUGAAGAAGGUCUUCGGAUCGUAAAACUCUGUUGUUAGAGAAGAACACGAGUGAGAGUAACUGUUCAUUCGAUGACGGUAUCUAACCAGCAAGUCACGGCUAACUACGUGCCAG
rnacentral:rRNA from 1 species